rnacentral:rRNA from 6 species
CGGCAACGGAUAUCUCGGCUCUCGCAUCGAUGAAGAACGUAGCGAAAUGCGAUACUUGGUGUGAAUUGCAGAAUCCCGUGAACCAUCGAGUCUUUGAACGCAAGUUGCGCCCGAAGCCACUAGGCCGAGGGCACGCCUGCCUGGGCGUCACACGUCGUUGCCCC